UGCCAUAUGCGGGAUUCGAUCCCGGGUCUUAGCGGUUGAGAACCAACGGUUUAAACCAUCCUUCCACCGACAAUUCUACUAAUAUGGU